AUGUUGCAUGAGCUAGGUCAGCGGCAAGGUACGGAUCUGUAUAUGCUCAUGGACGACAUGGACGACUCGCGCCUGUUCAUGCAGUGGGCGGUGAGCACACUGGAGCAGCAGGAUCCAGGAGACGCCAACGGCAGCAGCGAGAAGAGCGCCGGCUUCCCGUGUCUCCAGGCGCUCCGCGAUUCCUCUGAGCUGACGGAAGCACAGAACAGUCUGAGCUCCGGCGACGACACCGGCAGCGGUGGAGGAAUCAUCACCCCAGCCCCCGAUUCGGCUGUGCACCAAGGCAGUUGGUCCAUGUUGUCCCCGACCUCGGGCGGGCCGUUCGCGCCCAGCAGCAUGAGCAGCACCGGCACCAGCAACGCCCUGUCCAUGAGCUGGGACUUCGGCGCUGCCUUGCCGCCGCAGCCGGUCAGCAGCGGUGGCGGGGGCACACUGGCCGCCGGGGCACCGCUUCGUUCCGGCGUGUCACAGCCGACGAGGAGGGCCUCCACAAAGAGCACGCCGUACGCGCAAGACCACAUCAUGGCGGAGCGGAAGCGCAGGGAGAAGAUCAACCAGCGCUUCAUCGAGCUCUCCGCCGUCAUUCCCGGCCUCAAGAAGAUGGACAAGGGGACGAUUCUUGCCGACGCGACCAGAUACGUGAAGGAGCUCCAAGAGAGGGUCAAGUACCUGGAGGCUGCCGGCGGCAACCACAGGAGCGUUGAGACCGUGGUGCUCGUCUGGAAGCCACGGUGCCUCGUCGCCCCGGACGGUGAGGCAUGUCCGGGGUUCUUCUCGGCAGCUGGGACGCCGGCAAAUGGGAGCCAGCUGCCGGAGAUCGAGGCAAAGCUCUCGGAGGACAACGUCAUGGUGAGGAUCCACUGUGAAAUAAAUGGAAAGGGUCUGGUCGCCAGGGUUCUUGCGGAGGUCGAGGAGCUCCACCUCCGCAUCGUCCACAACAAUGUGAUGCCGUUCACGGUGUCCACCGUGAUUAUUACCACCAUGGCAAAGGUGGAGGAGGGCUUUACCGUCAACACAGAGGAGAUAGUAGGAAGACUCAACUCUGCAUUGUACCAACAUAGCAGUGGCAACAAAAAUUAUUAA
rnacentral:rRNA from 1 species